rnacentral:lncRNA from 1 species
ACAUUGAUGAAUGGAAAUCGUCGGGGAUGACGCUGUCUAUACUUUUUUUUCUCUAUCAAUCUUCUGUUUCGGACUCGUCAUGUCUGCAUUUCGACUGGAGUAAAGUUUUCCAACAUGUGAUCUAGUUUAUGACCGGGUUUUCUUCAGCCUACAGCCGUUCUCUGUCUGAAGGAUGGGAUAGGGACAUGGCAAGUUGUCAGGAGGACGAUGUUUAAAGGGAAAACGAGUUAACGCCUCUGGCAAUCAGCGCUCCCACUGGCUCCCGGCUAAUUGACAAGGACGAGGUCUUUUAUCUGGGCCUCUGGGCCUCUGCAACAAACACUUGGAUUCCAUUAAAUACACUCUCCUUCAGACAAUCAACAUGACGGAGCAAAGUCCAGAUCCACGGAGAUCCAACAAGGACAAAUGAUACAAGGAGAAAGAUACCUCUCAGCAGACACACUG